GUGCCAGCAGCCGCGGUAAUACGUAGGGUGCAAGCGUUAAUCGGAAUUACUGGGCGUAAAGCGUACGCAGGCGGCUUUGCAAGACAGGUGUGAAAUCCCCGGGCCUAACCUGGGAACUGCAUUUGUGACUGCAUGGCUAGAGUCUGUCAGAGGGGGGUGGAAUUCCACGUGUAGCAGUGAAAUGCGUAGAGAUGUGGAAGAACACCGAUGGCGAAGGCAGCCCCCUGGGAUGAGACUGACGCUCAUGUACGAAAGCGUGGGGAGCAAACAGGAUUAGAUACCCCAGUAGUCC
rnacentral:rRNA from 1 species